rnacentral:rRNA from 1 species
CCUGAUCAGCCAUGCCGCGUGAGUGAAGAAGGCCUUCGGGUUGUAAAGCUCUUUCGGCCGGAACGAAACGGUCACGGCUAAUACCCGGGACCACUGACGGUACCGGAAGAAGAAGCACCGGCUAACUACGUGCCAGCAGCCGCGGUAAUAA